rnacentral:rRNA from 1 species
GAUUAACGCUAGCGGCAGGCCUAAUACAUGCAAGUCGAGGGGUAACAGGGUAGCAAUACUGCUGACGACCGGCGCACGGGUGAGUAACACGUAUGCAACCUACCUAUAACUGGGGAAUAGCCUUCCGAAAGGAAGAUUAACACCGCAUAAUAUCACGAGACGGCAUCGUUUUGUGAUCAAACCUCCGGGGGUUAUAGAUGGGCAUGCGUAACAUUAGCUAGUUGGUGAGGUAACGGCUCACCAAGGCGACGAUGUUUAGGGGGUCGU